CUCUUCCUGUCACUGCAGACAGUCAGUAGUUGGUCUGGUGUGAGCAGGAAUUCUCAGAUCACCUCUUGGCUGUGAGUGGUGGAGAGAG
rnacentral:pre_miRNA from 15 species